rnacentral:lncRNA from 1 species
AAACCCAGAUUCCGCUUUUUGGAUUUCUAGGUUCCUGGUCUUUCCGGGACCUCCUGGGACCCUUUCUAGACAGAAUUCCCAGAGGAAUUCUCCGUGAAUCGGCUUAGAGCAGAUGUUGUGGCAGGGGUUACACGAAGGAGGAUUUGGUGCCCUGGCUUGUUUUUCCCACAAGGCACUGCGGCUUGGACUCCUCGGUUUGAACUACAUUUCCCAGAAAACAACGGGUGCAAGCAAUUUACAGUUCAGCCCCAGUCCCCAAACACCCCGCAGGGUUCUCAGUGCUCGGCAAAAUGAAUUCAACCUAAAUCCAAGGGCGGUGACAGGAGGAGGGCUCUAAACAAAUGUUUCAAAUUUGGAGUUCCUGAUUUGGACAUGGAGAAGCCGCCAGUUGUUACUGGAAUGUAGGCCUGUGGCCAUCACCAGACAGGCCCGGGACAUGGCUCCAGGGGUGGGGAAGUGCAGUCUGAGGCACCGAUGGUUCUCAGGUUCUCGGACAUCCAGGUGCUGCUGGGAGACGCAGAAGACCUGAGAAUGGAGCGAGGCCCUGCAGGCUAGACCUAGCCUGGGACAGGUUG